rnacentral:lncRNA from 1 species
ACCCUUUGCUCUGGGGAAACCAGCUGCUACAUCACCAUCAGCCUUGUGACCAUGCCACAUGGUAAGGAGCUGAAAUCUCAGCAGCCACAUGAGUGAGCUCGGCAGCGGAUCCUUUAGGCCCCGUCAUGCAAUCCUGGAUUGCAGCCCUGGACAUCCACUUAACUAGCAAGACUGAGCCAGAACCACCCAGAUGAGCUGCUCCUGGAUUCCCAACUCUCAAAAACUGUGAGAGAUGUUCAACGGUGGUUGUUUGAAACUGCUGAGUCUCAGUAUAAUUUGUUACACAGCACUAGCUAACUCAUACACGUCACGUUUCUGCAGCAGAAUACCUUGGACCUGGGGAGAGCUGGAGAUAAUUACUCAGUACCACCCAGUACAUGGGAAAGUGAUUACUGACAGGCUCAGAAAUGUUAAGAAGAUGCUUAAAAGAAAUGGGCUCAUGAGCCUUCUUUGCUGAAGUAUUAAUUACUAGAUCUGAAUGUUUUGCUUUUCUGUGAUGGAAAACGUGAAGAAAAUAGGGCUUUUUUUUUUCUUUUGAAGAGAUGGGAUUUCCCUCUGUCGCUUAGGCUUAACUGCAGUGAUUCAGUCAUAGCUCACGGCAGCCUCAAACUCCUGGACUCAAGCAAAUGACUGAUAUUUUUUGAGCACCAGCAGUAACGAUAGUUACUAUUCACUGUUUUCUCCCUGCCAGGUGUUCCACAGACAUCCUACAUGCAUGACAUUGAUUCACUCUUACAUUUGACAGGAACCUGGCCGUCCACUCCACCCACGUGCCUUAGCAAAGUGCCCUUGGUGAGGCUGAGGGACUAGGCAGCCAGGACUCCUGAGGGGACCUUAUCAGAGAGGGAAGCCACCUCGGACUGAGUGGUGAGUGCUGCUCUAGGACUGCCCUAAAACUGGAUUUGAACAAAAGACCACAUGCCGUAUGACUCCAUUGGAAUGAAACAUCCAGAACAGGCAAAGCCACAGA